UACGUAGGUGGCAAGCGUUGUCCGGAUUUACUGGGCGUAAAGCGCACGUAGGCGGCUUUGUAAGUUAGAGGUGAAAGCCCGGGGCUCAACCCCGGAAUUGCCUCUAAGACUGCAUCGCUAGAAUUGUGGAGAGGUGAGUGGAAUUCCGAGUGUAGAGGUGAAAUUCGUAGAUAUUCGGAAGAACACCAGUGGCGAAGGCGACUCACUGGACACAUAUUGACGCUGAGGUGCGAAAGCGUGGGGAGCAAACAGG
rnacentral:rRNA from 1 species